GACGAACGCUGGCGGCGUGCUUAACACAUGCAAGUCGAACGGUAAGGCCCUUCGGGGUACACGAGUGGCGAACGGGUGAGUAACACGUGGGUGAUCUGCCCUGCACUUCGGGAUAAGCCUGGGAAACUGGGUCUAAUACCGGAUAGGACCACUGCCUGCAUGGGUGGUGGUGGAAAGCUUUUGCGGUGUGGGAUGGGCCCGCGGCCUAUCAGCUUGUUGGGGGGGUGAUGGCCUACCAAGGCGACGACGGGUAGCCGGCCUGAGAGGGUGACCGGCCACAAUGGGACUGAGAUACGGCCCAGACUCCUACGGGAGGCAGCAGUGGGGAAUAUUGCACAAUGGGCGCAAGCCUGAUGUAGCGACGCCGCGUGAGGGAUGACGGCCUUCGGGUUGUAAACCUCUUUCAGCACUGACGAAGCGCAAGUGACGGUAGGUGCAGAAGAAGGACCGGCCAACUACGUGCCAGCCGCCGCGGUAA
rnacentral:rRNA from 1 species